rnacentral:rRNA from 1 species
GAUGAACGCUGGCGGCGUGCCUAAUACAUGCAAGUCGAGCGAAUGGAUUGAGAGCUUGCUCUUAUGAAGUUAGCGGCGGACGGGUGAGUAACACGUGGGUAACCUGCCCAUAAGACUGGGAUAACUCCGGGAAACCGGGGCUAAUACCGGAUAACAUUUUGAACCGCAUGGUUCGAAAUUGAAAGGCGGCUUCGGCUGUCACUUAUGGAUGGACCCGCGUCGCAUUAGCUAGUUGGUGAGGUAACGGCUCACCAAGGCAACGAUGCGUAGCCGACCUGGGAGGGUGAGCGGCAACACUGGGACUGAGACACGGCCCAGACUCCUACGGGGGGAAGCAGUAGGGAAUCUUCCGCAAUGGACGAAAGUCUGACGGAGCAACGCCGCGUGAGUGAUGAAGGCUUUCGGGUCGUAAAACUCUGUUGUUAGGGAAGAACAAGCGCUAGUUGAAUAAGCUGGCACCUUGACGGUACCUAACCAGAAAGCCACGGCUAACUACGUGCCAGCCGCCGCCGUAA